CAGGGAGAAGUUGAACGAGAUAUG
rnacentral:piRNA from 1 species